rnacentral:tRNA from 1 species
GCGGCCGUGGCGGAAUUGGUAGACGCGCUAGCUUGAGGUGCUAGUCCGGAGACGGGUGGAGGUUCGAGUCCUCUCGGCCGCACCA